rnacentral:rRNA from 1 species
UACGAAGGGUGCAAACGUUGCUCGGAAUCAUUGGGCGUAAAGCGCACGUAGGCGGUCUGUCACGUCGGCUGUGAAAACCCGAGGCUCAACCUCGGGCCUGCAGUCGAUACGGGCAAACUAGAGUACUGCAGGGGAGACUGGAAUUCCUGGUGUAGCGGUGAAAUGCGCAGAUAUCAGGAGGAACACCGGUGGCGAAGGCGGGUCUCUGGGCAGUAACUGACGCUGAGGAGCGAAAGCGUGGGGAGCGAACAGG